rnacentral:pre_miRNA from 1 species
GAUAUACUCCCUCCGUCCCAAAAUUCUUGUCUUACAUUUGUUUAAAUAUGAAUGUAUCUAGUCAAGUUUUANNNNUUAGAUACAUCCAUUUCUAGACAAAGUUAAGGCAAGAAUUUUGGGACGGAGGGAGUAGAUA